AUGCUCACUUUGGCAGCACAUAUACUAAAACGGGAAAAAAACAGAGAAGGUUAGCAUGGUCCCUGUGUAAGGAUGACACGCAAAAUUCGUGAAGUGUUCCAUAUUAAA